GCCGGAGUGGUGGAAUUGGCAGACACGCGGGAUUCAAAAUCCCGUGAGGGCAACCUCGUGAGAGUUCAAAUCUCUCCUUCGGCACUA
rnacentral:tRNA from 1 species